rnacentral:rRNA from 1 species
GCGAACGCUGGCGGCAGGCUUAACACAUGCAAGUCGAGCGGGCACUUUCGGGUGUCAGCGGCGGGCGGGUGAGUAACGCGUGGGAACGUGCCCUCUGGUUCGGAAUAACUCAGGGAAACUUGAGCUAAUACCGGAUACGCCCUUUUGGGGAAAGGCUUGCUGCCGGAGGAUCGGCCCGCGUCUGAUUAGCUAGUUGGUGAGGUAACGGCUCACCAAGGCGACGAUCAGUAGCUGGUCUGAGAGGAUGAUCAGCCACACUGGGACUGAGACACGGCCCAGACUCCUACGGGAGGCAGCAGUGGGGAAUAUUGGACAAUGGGCGCAAGCCUGAUCCAGCCAUGCCGCGUGAGUGAUGAAGGCCUUAGGGUUGUAAAGCUCUUUUAUCCGGGACGAUAAUGACGGUACCGGAGGAAUAAGCCCCGGCUAACUUCGUG